rnacentral:rRNA from 1 species
UGGGGAAUAUUGCACAAUGGGCGGAAGCCUGAUGCAGCGACGCCGCGUGGGGGAUGAAGGCCUUCGGGUUGUAAACUCCUUUCGACAGGGACGAAGCUUUUGUGACGGUACCUGUAUAAGAAGCACCGGCUAACUACGUGCCAGCAGCCGCGGUAAUACGUAGGGUGCGAGCGUUGUCCGGAAUUACUGGGCGUAAAGAGCUCGUAGGUGGUUUGUCGCGUCGUCUGUGAAAUUCCGGGGCUUAACUCCGGGCGUGCAGGCGAUACGGGCUGACUUGAGUGCUGUAGGGGAGACUGGAAUUCCUGGUGUAGCGGUGAAAUGCGCAGAGAUCAGGAGGAACACCGAUGGCGAAGGCAGGUCUCUGGGCAGUAACUGACGCUGAGGAGCGAAAGCAUGGGUAGCGAACAGG